UACGUAGGGUGCGAGCGUUAAUCGGAAUUACUGGGCGUAAAGCGUGCGCAGGCGGCUAUGCAAGCCAGGUGUGAAAUCCCCGGGCUCAACCUGGGAACUGCACUUGUGACUGCAUGGCUAGAGUGCGUCAGAGGGAGGUGGAAUUCCGCGUGUAGCAGUGAAAUGCGUAGAGAUGCGGAGGAACACCGAUGGCGAAGGCAGCCUCCUGGGAUGACACUGACGCUCAUGCACGAAAGCGUGGGGAGCAAACAGG
rnacentral:rRNA from 1 species